UUAAACGUCCAUACAAAGUUGAAUACAUAGGUUCUCGUCCGAUCACCGAAGCUAAGCAACGUCGGGCGCGGUCAGUGCUUGAAUUGGGUGAUCGCCUGAACACCACGUGAUGUUGGCU
rnacentral:rRNA from 1 species